rnacentral:rRNA from 1 species
UAAUACGGGGGGGACUAACGUUAUUCAUCAUAACUGGGCGUAAAGGGUACGUAGGUGGCUUCGUAAGUCUUGAUUAAAGAAUCUAAGCAUAACUUAGAAAUUAUUCUUGAUACUGCUAGGCUCGAGGUCGAAAGAGGUUAGUUAUAUUCUUGAAGUAAAAGUAAAAUCUUUAGAUAUCGAGAGGAUAACCAAGUGGUUAAUGCGACUUUCUGGUUCGACGCUGACGCUGAGGUACGAAGGCAUGGGUAUCAAACGGGAUUAGAGACCCCGGUAGUCCAUGCGGUAAAUCAUGAAUGUUAUGAGAUUGCUCUUUAUUGCAAAAUGUAAAUGGGAGCUAGUCUAUGAGCUAACGCGAAAGCAUUCCGCCUGGGUACUACAGUCGCAAGGUU